AACGCACAUUGCGCCCUUUGGUAUUCCGAGGGGCAUGCCUGUUCGAGCGUCAUUUCAACCCUCAAGCUUCUGCUUGGUAUUGGGCUUUUCAUCCACUUUUUUUUUCAAAAGAGGAUGUGCCUGAAACUCAUAGGCGGUUCUAAUCAACUUCUUUGCGUAGUUAUUUUUUCUUUCGCUCUGGAGGCUUUGGUUAUAACCCGCCUAAGAAAACCUUUAUUUUCUUAGUUUUGACCUCGGAUCAGGUAGGGAUACCCGCUGAACUUAA
rnacentral:misc_RNA from 1 species